CAGGUGSUGCAUGGCUGUCGUCAGCUCGUGUCGUGAGAUGUUGGGUUAAGUCCCGCAACGAGCGCAACCCUCGCCCUUAGUUGCCAGCAUUCAGUUGGGCACUCUAGGGGGACUGCCGGUGAUAARCCGAGAGGAAGGUGGGGAUGACGUCAAGUCUUCAUGGCCCUAWCGGGUUGGSYUACACACGUGYUCCAAUGGCGGUGACAGUGGYCAGGGAACUSSGGAGAGGGACMUAUUCUCCAAAARCGGUCUCAGUUCGGAUUGUWSUCUGCAACUCGAGARCAUGAAGYUGGAAUCGCUAGUAAU
rnacentral:rRNA from 1 species